CUCUGCAAAAUGGUGCCACCCAACCACCAGGGCCAGGCAGUCCAGUCCUCCAUGUGCCCAGGAGGAGGAGAAAAACAGACAAAUUAGGCUCCGGACGCGCAGGCUCAGCGGCCAUGGCUCACGGGCCCAGCCGCUGCGCGGCAUGUAGAAUCCUCCCGGACUGGGGCACUAACCCGUGUACCCCGCAUCGGCAGGCGGACUCUCAAGCACUGCGCCACCAGGGUAGUCCUAUGAUUAAUUUUUGUGGGUGUUCUAUGUUGCUUGGAAUGAAUAUGCAUUACCUGCUUGUUCCAUGUUUAAGUUUAUUAUUUGUUUUUUCAAAUAAACCAUACAUUUGUGUGUGUGUGUA